GGAGAGGUGUCCGAGUGGUCGAAGGAGGCGGUCUUGAAAACCGUUGAGCCGCAAGGCUCCGUGGGUUCGAAUCCCACCUUCUCCG
rnacentral:tRNA from 1 species